rnacentral:rRNA from 1 species
GAUGAACGCUGGCGGUCUGCUUAACACAUGCAAGUCGAACGGAAUCCUUCGGGAUUUAGUGGCGGACGGGUGAGUAACACGUGAGAAUCUGCACUCAGGAUGGGGACAACAGCGGGAAACUGCUGCUAAUACCCAAUGUGCCGAAAGGUAAAAGAUUUAUCGCCUGAGAAUGAGCUCGCGGCCGAUUAGUUAGUUGGUGGGGUAAUGGCCUACCAAGACGGCGAUCGGUAGCUGGUCUGAGAGGAUGAGCAGCCACACUGGGACUGAGACACGGCCCAGACUCCUACGGGAGGCAGCAGUGGGGAAUUUUCCGCAAUGGGCGCAAGCCUGACGGAGCAAGACCGCGUGGGGGAGGAAGGCUCUUGGGUUGUAAACCCCUUUUCUCGAGGAAGAACAAAAUGACGGUACUUGAGGAAUCAGCCUCGGCUAACUCCGUGCCAGCCGCCGCAGUAAGAC